rnacentral:rRNA from 1 species
UCUGGCGGCGUGCUUAACACAUGCAAGUCGAACGAAGCACCUUAUUCUGAUUUCUUCGGAAUGAAAAAUUUGGUGACUGAGUGGCGGACGGGUGAGUAACGCGUGGGUAACCUGCCUCAUACAGGGGGAUAACAGUUAGAAAUGACUGCUAAUACCGCAUAAGACCACAGCACCGCAUGGUGCAGGGGCAAAAACUCCGGUGGUAUGAGAUGGACCCGCGUCUGAUUAGGUAGUUGGUGGGGUAACGGCCUACCAAGCCGACGAUCAGUAGCCGACCUGAGAGGGUGACCGGCCACAUUGGGACUGAGACACGGCCCAAACUCCUACGGGAGGCAGCAGUGGGGAAUAUUGCACAAUGGGGGAAACCCUGAUGCAGCGACGCCGCGUGAGCGAUGAAGUAUUUCGGUAUGUAAAGCUCUAUCAGCAGGGAAGAAAAUGACGGUACCUGACUAAGAAGCACCGGCUAAAUACGUGCCAGCAGCCGCGGUAAUACGUAUGGUGCAAGCGUUAUCCGGAUUUACUGGGUGUAAAGGGAGCGUAGACGGAGUGGCAAGUCUGAUGUGAAAACCCGGGGCUCAACCCCGGGACUGCAUUGGAAACUGUCAAUCUAGAGUACCGGAGAGGUAAGCGGAAUUCCUAGUGUAGCGGUGAAAUGCGUAGAUAUUAGGAGGAACACCAGUGGCGAAGGCGGCUUACUGGACGGUAACUGACGUUGAGGCUCGAAAGCGUGGGGAGCAAACAGGAUUAGAUACCCUAGUAGUCCACGCCGUAAA